rnacentral:rRNA from 1 species
UGCAAGUCGAGCGGAUGAAGGGAGCUUGCUCCUGGAUUCAGCGGCGGACGGGUGAGUAAUGCCUAGGAAUCUGCCUGGUAGUGGGGGAUAACGUCCGGAAACGGGCGCUAAUACCGCAUACGUCCUGAGGGAGAAAGUGGGGGAUCUUCGGACCUCACGCUAUCAGAUGAGCCUAGGUCGGAUUAGCUAGUUGGUGGGGUAAAGGCCUACCAAGGCGACGAUCCGUAACUGGUCUGAGAGGAUGAUCAGUCACACUGGAACUGAGACACGGUCCAGACUCCUACGGGAGGCAGCAGUGGGGAAUAUUGGACAAUGGGCGAAAGCCUGAUCCAGCCAUGCCGCGUGUGUGAAGAAGGUCUUCGGAUUGUAAAGCACUUUAAGUUGGGAGGAAGGGCAGUAAGUUAAUACCUUGCUGUUUUGACGUUACCAACAGAAUAAGCACCGGCUAACUUCGUGCCAGCAGCCGCGGUAAUACGAAGGGUGCAAGCGUUAAUCGGAAUUACUGGGCGUAAAGCGCGCGUAGGUGGUUCAGCAAGUUGGAUGUGAAAUCCCCGGGCUCAACCUGGGAACUGCAUCCAAAACUACUGAGCUAGAGUACGGUAGAGGGUGGUGGAAUUUCCUGUGUAGCGGUGAAAUGCGUAGAUAUAGGAAGGAACACCAGUGGCGAAGGCGACCACCUGGACUGAUACUGACACUGAGGUGCGAAAGCGUGGGGAGCAAACAGGAUUAGAUACCCUGGUAGUCCACGCCGUAAACGAUGUCGACUAGCCGUUGGGAUCCUUGAGAUCUUAGUGGCGCAGCUAACGCGAUAAGUCGACCGCCUGGGGAGUACGGCCGCAAGGUUAAACUCAAAUGAAUUGACGGGGGCCGCACAAGCGGGGGAGCAGGUGGGUUAAUUGAAGCCACGCGAAGAACUUACCGG